rnacentral:rRNA from 1 species
UACGUAGGGUGCGAGCGUUAAUCGGAAUUACUGGGCGUAAAGCGUGCGCAGGCGGUUUUGUAAGACAGGCGUGAAAUCCCCGGGCUCAACCUGGGAAUGGCGCUUGUGACUGCAAAGCUGGAGUGCGGCAGAGGGGGAUGGAAUCCGCGUGUAGCAGUGAAAUGCGUAGAUAUGCGGAGGAACACCGAUGGCGAAGGCAAUCCCCUGGGCCUGCACUGACGCUCAGUGCACGAAAGCGUGGGGAGCGAAACAGG